rnacentral:rRNA from 1 species
GAUGAACGCUAGCGGCAGGCCUAAUACAUGCAAGUCGAACGAGAUUAAGAGGCUUGCUUCUUAUGAAAGUGGCGCACGGGUGCGUAACGCGUAUGCAACCUACCUUAAUCAGGGGGAUAGCCCGAAGAAAUUCGGAUUAAGACCGCAUAAAAGCACAGGAUAGCAUUAUCCAAUGUUCAAAUAUUUAUAGGAUUAAGAUGGGCAUGCGUGUCAUUAGCUAGUUGGCGGGGUAACGGCCCACCAAGGCGACGAUGACUAGGGGAUCUGAGAGGAUGACCCCCCACACUGGUACUGAGACACGGACCAGACUCCUACGGGAGGCAGCAGUAAGGAAUAUUGGUCAAUGGAGGGGACUCUGAACCAGCCAUGCCGCGUGCAGGAAGACAGCCCUCUGGGUCGUAAACUGCUUUUAGUCGGGAAUAAACCUUUCUACGUGUAGGAAGCUGAAUGUACCGAAGGAAUAAGGAUCGGCUAACUCCGUG